rnacentral:rRNA from 1 species
GACGAACGCUGGCGGCGUGCUUAACACAUGCAAGUCGAACGAAGUGGCGAACGGGUGAGUAACGCGUAAUCAACCUGCCCUUCAGCGGGGGACAACAGUUGGACACGACUGCUAAUACCGCAUACUGAAGGAGGGGCAUCCGUGUGAUUAGCAGGUGGGAGGGGUAACGGCCCCCCAAGGCGAGGAUCAUGAGCCGGUCGUAGAGGGUGACCGGCCACAUGGGGACUGAGACACGGCCCAGACUCCUACGGGAGGCAGCAGUGGGGAAUCUUCCGCAAUGGACGAAAGUCUGACGGAGCAACGCCGCGUGUGUGAUGACGGCCUUCGGGUUGUAAAGCUCUGUUAAUCGGGACGCGGUACCGGAAUAGAAAGCCACGGCUAACUACGUGCCAGCAGCCGCGGUAUAC